GUGAACGAGACAGGCUGCCUUCAGGCUUAUCUGCUAGAGGCAAGGGAGGGUGGAGAGGCAGGGAAGGUGGGGGUGGUGGCAGAGGCGUUUGACGAAGCCAGGGGAGAGGGAAGGAGUUGCUCACAGGCGUUUCUCUCCUGCUGGGGGCACACUUUUUUCCCUGCCAGGCCCAUAGUGCAUAACUUUUGGCCUGUCGGCAAGUGGCAGGUUCUUCUUCGUGGCCUCUGUGAAUGCAAACAGUUGGGUGGUUCUGCGCCUGCACCGGACAGCCCAAUUGGGUGCAUUCACAGGGGACCACUGGAAGAGCCAUGGUUACAGGAGAGGUGGUUUGUCACCGAAAACAAUGUGGCCAAAUUUCUGGGUCACCUCCCACGACUACCCAGCUCUGGCCAACCUGAGAUGGAGCAGUGCCCGUUGAUUGAAGUGCUGGAUGUCUCUGAAGGCAAAAGUCAGAUCAGAUUAAAGGUAAAGGCGUGUUUUACACAUUUGUAUCAUCAUCACUCAACCACAGUGCAGCGGUGUCGCCCAUCUCCUGUCCUGUUGCCUGCGGUUCGUGUGGGGGGGGUGUUCUUGCAUGAUUGGUCUCCUUGAUGUAGGGGCGCCAGCCUACAUCUGGCUUCCUGGAGCUUGAGCCCCUUAUUACGUGUCCUGUACUCUGGGACGACUGAGAACAAAUCCUGCCCCUCCUCUGUAGGACUACCUUUAAAGUAUCUGGAAAGUGCUAUCCUGUCUCUCCUCCAUCAUCUUUUCUCAAGGCUAAAUCUGCCCAGUUCCUUCAGUCUUUCCUCCUAGGACUUGAUUUCCAGUUCCCUGGAUCAUCCUUGCUGCUCUCCCCUGAACUUGCUCCAAUCUGUCAGCCUCCUUCCUGAAGUGCAGCGUCCUGAACUGGGCACAGGGCUCUAGAUAAGGUCUAACCCUUGCUGAACAGAUGGGAACUAGUACUUCACGGGAUUUGGAGACUCUGCUUCUGUUAAUGCAUCCUGAACUAGCAUUAUCCCUUUUUGCAGCCCCAUCACACUGUGGGCUCAUGUUCCGUUUGUGAUGUACAACCGUUCCAAUAUCUUUCUGAGUUGUAGUAUUCCUCAGCUGAGUAUCCUCCAUCUUAUAACUGUGCAUUUGGUUUUUUCCCCUCCAGACAUCUUGUAACUGUACAUUUGGUUUGUUCCCCUCCAGACGGAGAAGAUGGCCCCUCACUGUCACCUCUCCUACUUUUUUAUUGCUCUGUUAGUGAGGUGCUUGCUUUCUCUCCCCUGCCUCUUGCCCUAGAGCAGAUUACCACCAUGCAGGUGGAAAUCUGCUGUUGGCCCAGAGCCGGGUUUUCCAGGGAGUUCCAGACAAGGGCCGUGGGGGUAGAGCCCUCUUCUCUCCCUUUGCCAGGCAGCAAUCUGUUCUGUGAGCAGUGGGACCUUUGAGAAAUAUGUGUCAGGAGGCAUCCCGUGCCCUCUUCUGCACGUGGAAGCCCCGCAGCGCGUGCACACCCUCCCCCCCGCUUUGUGAUCCCUGCUUUCACAAUGGAGAGGAAGUAUGUGGACACAAGCUGAGCGGCUGUUAAACCGGAUUCUGGUCCUUGAGUUCAAAACUACAGAGGAGU
rnacentral:lncRNA from 1 species